rnacentral:lncRNA from 1 species
CCCCCCCCGGGCGGGGGUCGCGCUCACCGGGGCGGGGGGGCCAUGGCGGGGCCGGACGGAGCCGGAGCGGAUCCCGGAGCUCUUCCUCCUCCUCCUCCUCCUCCUCCUCCUCCUCCUCCUCCUCCUCCUGCCGCUCCGGGGGGGGCGGCGCCGCGCGGGGGGACGGCCCCCGGGCCUUCCUCCCCACCCUCCUCAUCGUCAUCGGCGGCGGCGGCGGCGGCGGCGGCUCCUACCCGGCCUUCAUCGUCAUCAUCAUCAUCGUCAUCCUCAUCGUCCUCGGCCUUCCUCCCCAUCCUCAUCUUCCUCAUCUCCAUCGCCCCCGGCCUUCCUCCCCAUCAUCAUCAUCAUCACCUUCAUAACCCCCGGCCUUCCUCUUCAUCGUCAUCUUCAUCCUCAUCGUCUUCAGCCUUCCUCUUCAUCAUCAUCAUCAUCAUCUUCAUCGCCCCCGGCCUUCCUCCCCACCCUCA